AGCAGGCUUGAGAGGGAAGCCUGGCUAAGGCCUAUUCACUUGUGGUUCCUUCUUCCUGAGAUAAGGAAUGCUCCAGAGAGGUUGCAGAAUGGAGGCCUCACCUAGGUCUCACCAGCAACGCACUCUAGCCUUGCUCUGCACAGCAGUCAGGGCAGAACUGCAUGGAAUGACUAGAUACUCAGGCCUCCAGGAAAGGGAAGCUGACCCAUCGGGCGGGCAGCAGUUGAAUGAGGUACAGAAGCUGCCAGCUGAGGGACUGGGUGAAGUCUUGACUCAACAAGAUUGAAAAGCAAGAGAGACAUCCAGGGUGGACAAGCUCAAUCUGGGACUGGACAGUUAGGAAUUGCUUCUUUUUAAAAACCCCAAAGUGGAAUUCUCAUUUCUCCAAGAUGAUGUACAGACCUUCAGAGAAAUCUGGACUGAUACCCCGAGUGCUGAGACCAUGAAGACAGGACACUUUUGGGGGACAGGAUGUUCUCUCACUGUACUCCUUAAAACUUUUCAGCUUGCCCUCUAGAGAUCAAAUCUUCAAUACACAUUUACCAC
ensembl:antisense